rnacentral:lncRNA from 1 species
AUGCCAACAAUUGUCGGUAAAGCUUUGGGACAAUAUGGCCAGAUAAAGGUCCGGCCAAGGAAUUGCAAGGGCUAUCGGUAUAUCUGCAGCAGAGAAAGUUUCGAGGGGGUCCGGAUCCAGAUACUCCGCCCCCAGACUCUCCGACGCCGCUGCGGCAGAGAGGGGCAGCUGCCCUCAUUGGCUCCCUGUGCCCGAGUGCCGGGCACCGCCGGCUCUGCAGCAAUGUUCUUCAGGGGGCCGCUGCCCUCCUGGGCCGCCAGCAGAGCCCACCUUCCCGAAGAAGACUCUUCCCCAUGGCCUCUGUCUCCUCUAGCCCCGCCGCCCGCCUCCGCUUGCAGAGACCUCUUAAAUUUACCAUCAGCCUCAGUAGGAAUAGUACUGUUAAUAACGACAGCUGGGGGCGGCGCGGGGGGCGAUGCGUGGCACCGGGAGGGCCAUACCCACCCCAGCCGCCCUCGUACCCAAGCCCCGGCAGCCUCGGCGUGGGACGCGAGCAGCCCCCGACACACCUCUCCCUCUCUUGUCCCAGUCUCGAGUAUCCCUGAGGCCCACAGGCUAAGCUCUGACUCCUCACCAUGCCUGGAGAGAAUUCGCAAGGAAAGCCCCCUAGAAAGACAUUUCUCCGCUGCUGAUGGUUGUCUGUUUUGGGGGGGAACGGGGGAGGUAAGUGAGUGGGAAAUACCGGGGCAAAGGGGAGGAGUGAGGUACGCAGCAGUCCGGCGUGGGCCAGCCUUCGUGGCCCUCCUCUCUCUAAAAGCAACCUGCUCCUCCUUCCUCGAGUGGCUUCUUCUUUUCUUCCCGCCCAUCCGAGAGGGCCUGAAGAAGCCUCUCCUGACGUCUCUGCGAAUGACGGUGCUCGGCGGGCGGCUGCGGAACGGAGACCGCGCGAGUCCGUACGCGGCGGCCAGGGGUGUCAGUGGGACAGCACUGGAAGGGCGCGUCCUGUACAGUAUCGGUGGGGUAUCAGCAGGACAGCGGGCUAUCAGACAGACGGACGGCAGGACCCGCUUUCGGCGCGAGCGCUACGCACGGACGGGCACCGGGAGGGGGCGCUGCUCCCCCGCCGCCGGGGGGAUGCGGGGCCGACACGGGACGGGUCCACGGAGGAGCCCCGCCUCCUCCCCGCCUUUUCUCCCUGAGACCGAUCCCACAGAGGAGCCCCGCCUCCGUCCCGCCUUUUCUCCCCGCUCAGAAGUGGAGUCCGGCCUGCCCAGGCAUUGUACACUAGGCGGGGAGGGAGAGGUAAAUGUGAACUUCGUACCUGCAGACUGAAUUUAAAAUCAAAUCAAAAUAUAACAAGGUCUGAAACAGGAAAAAAAAAAAAAAGGGAACCCAUAAAAACAGCAAAAAAAAAAAAAAAUCUAAUUCACUCCCCUGCUAGGGACCACAUUCAUAGGAAACAGAGAGAUAGCAGUGCAUUCCAAACCUUGUCUUUUCGGUCAGUUAUUUUACACCUAGAUAUAAACUGAAUACUAAAAUAAAAGAACAGAAACGACAUCGAGGAAAUUUGGU